CGAUUGCAUUGUACCUAUUCAGGUUAUUCAGAAUGGAGAAGCAAGUGUUAAAUUAAAAACAAUUAGCCACCAACACAACAAACAUCAACAUUGUUGCCAAUAUCAAUCAAUUAAAUUUUAAAUCAUAAUUCCGUCUUGCAUUUCUUCUCCAAUUUUUGUUUGUUCUAAUUAACAAAAAAUAAACAAAUACACACCUAUCUAUGUAUGCAUAGGUAUACUUUAAUUUGAGAAAAUAUGAGAGAGAAAUCUCUAGGCUUUCGAAGGCUAAAUAACUACAGAAAAUUAAACAGACGCUGAUAUAUUCAUCAGCAGCAAACAAACGAGCAGGCAGAUUUGGAAAGUGCUCAUGGAUUAACGUAAAGUUUACGCGCGCAGUAUUCUGUCCUAAUAUGCAUUAAGUGCAAUUUAAAAUACCUACAGCGGUCAAAAAAAGUAUUCAUCAUUAGCAAAAUUGAUAAUAAAUUCACUUAUUUUGGGUAAUUGAAGAAAAUUUAAAGCAAACAAAUAAUGCAGUUUUAUGCAAUAGUUUAUUUUUCGUAAUAUGUUUUAAAAUAAAUUCAAAAAAUAAAUUUAAUUAGCGCAAAAAAUGCAAUUUUAUAUAAUAACAUCAAAAACAGAACAAAAAAAGUAUUCAUCAUUGAUGUGCUAUCAUCAAAGUCAAAUUCAAAUAUUAUUUGGGAAUCCCCCUUUUCUGUUUUAUUUAGUAAAGGAGGCUUUGCCCUUGACAGCAAAUAUUUCAUUUCAUUGAAAAUAUAGUUUUUGUCAAAAUGGGUCGUAAGCAAAACGAGGUUUCUGAUGAGGUAAAAGUUUUGAUAAUAAAACACCACAGGAAUGGUUUAACUCAAAAAACUAUCAGUGAAAUAUUAAAUAGACCACGAUCUACUAUACAAUCCAUCAUCAGAAAGUGGACAGAAACGAAAACUGUUGACUUUCAGUUGGAGAUGUGCGUUGGCUCGUGCGGCAAGUUCAGAAAACUCCGAAGACAAAUGCGACCAUUCUUCGUAAAAACACUAUGGAAUAUUUAGGGAAGGAAGUUACUACACAAACAAUUCGAAAUACACUCAAAAGGCAUAGUUACAGAGGAAGAACUGCACGUAAGAAGCCCUUUAUAAAUAAAAUAAACCGAGUGAAAAGGCUAAACUUCGCAAAAAUGUAUGUAAAACAGCCCGAAUCAUUUUGGAAAACAGUCAUUUUUGCAGACGAGAGCAAGUUUAAUCUUUUUGGGUGCGAUGGAAAGGUCAUAGUGUACAGAAAACCAAAUACAGAGCUUGAAGAACGAAAUACAGUUGCUUCUGUAAAACAUGGUGGAGGUGGUUUAAUGGUUUGGGGGUGUAUGGCGGCUUCAGGAGCGGGAAAUCUUGAAAUUAUUAAUGGAGUAAUGGAUCAUAAGUAUUACAUUGACAUUUUAAAGAGGAAUUUAAAAGAUAGUGCUGUAAAACUUGGGCUUGGUAAUAACUUUCAAUAUUAUCAAGAUAAUGACCCCAAACAUUCUGCUUUAAAUACCAAGAUGUGGAUGCUGUAUAACUGCCCCAAAGUCAUUAAAACUCCUCCUCAAAGUCCCGACUUGAACCCAAUUGAACAUCUUUGGGAACAUCUCGAACGCAAAUUGAGAACGCGCAAUUUUUCGAGCAAGAGUCAAAUGCAACAGGUGAUAAUGGAGGAAUGGACUAAUAUAGACCAAAAUAUAACCGCUAAAUUAGUCCAAUCGAUGUCAAACCGUUUAAAAGAAGUUAUAAGACGCGGUGGUCGAAUAACAAAGUAUUAAUUUUUUUAAAUUAUGUUAUUUAUUUUUUUGUUUUUUUGCAAUGAUGAAUACUUUUUUUGUUUAAUUUUUUGUGUUCAGCUGUAAAAUGGCCCUUUUUGUUCCAAUAAAUACUAUUUUUUUUCUUUAAAAACAAUGAAAUUGUGUACAUAUAUAUCACACAAGCACUACUGCAUCAUUAGUUUAAUAUGUUUUUAUUCCAAUUGUCUUUAGUAGACUUAUUAAAAAAAAAACAUUGAAUGAUGAAUACUUUUUUUGACCGCUGUAUCUAUGUAUGCAUAGCUAUACUUUAAUUUGAGAAAAUAUGAGAGAGAAAUCUCUAGGCUUUCGAAGGCUAAAUAACUACAGAAAAUUAAACAGACGCUGAUAUAUUCAUCAGCAGCAAACAAACGAGCAGGCAGAUUUGGAAAGUGCUCAUGGAUUAACUUGAAAAGACCGACUCUUACCGACAACGAAUACUACCACCGACUUCGAAUACUACCUACAAAAUUUUGGGAUAAAUUAACUUUAGUCUUUUUUUUUGGGUCAAAGGCCCAUGGACCCUCCUAGGGGUCAUAAACUCCCCCUCAAUGGAAAGUGCUGGUUCCUAUGCAAUACGGAUAUCAAACGAAAGGUAUAAACGAUUAUAUUACAAAACUGCCUAAAAAUCUGACCUGGCAUGGAUCCAAAAGGUCUUAAGGUAGUGAACUCUUAACCAAGGCAAUGUGGGUAUGAAGUGAAAAAAAAUAUUUUAUACUCCUUGAUUAUAGUAUAGAUCGGAUUUGGGCAUUACUAUCAUGUCUGCAAAUUAAGGUCUUGAGCACAUUAAUCCCGCAUUAUUACCCGUUUUCGACGAAUUUUUGAACUAUGACCCCUUCUUGUUUGUGCAGAAUACAGGUCGGGACAGGUUAAUAUAUAACUUCCAUAUAAACUACUAUGACGUUAAAAAUUGGAACUUAUCGGGUAAUACAUGUGUCUUUUAUAGAUUCUAUGAGGAAUGAGUUUUGAUGUGGAAUUGCAGAUUUAUUUCGCUGUAUGAGAGGCUACCCAUAAAAGCAUGAAUGUUGCACUGAAUAUGGUAUUAAAAUCGACUUAGAUUUUAAUGCCAUGAUAGGAACGCCCAAUUCCUUUCGACCAACGGCCGAAAAAUUCACCUUUCACGAGGAAACGGUCGUUAAUGGAUUUAGACUAAAAUACUAUUUAAGAUGGAAUUACCAGAUGUCAAUAUCGUUUUAUUUACAAAGCCAGAUAGAUCAUGGUGUUAGACUUACGAUCAGUCCUAGGAACGAACUUCUAUUCGAAUCUCUAAUUUUAUGGAGCGAAGGUUAAAGCCCGCCUAAGCGUACCGAGAAAGCAACAAAUGGGCUGUCACUGUAAAUUUCUUCAGCAGACUCAACAUUUUCAUCAUGGAUAAAUACACGAACGGAUAAGUCUGCAAAUUAUAAAAAUUUACAACCAAAAUUAUAAGUCAGUGAUAGCUACGUUAAGAGUGUUAAUUAUCUUCAGUGACGAAGAAAAUUUUCGUCUUAAUGGGUUCAUCAGGAGAAAAUCCCCAUGCGCUUCACGAAUCAACACUUCAUCUGCAAAAAUAACUGUUUUGUGCGGUUUGCAUGCCGGCGGCGUCAUUGGGCCAUACGUCUUCGUCCGAUGCCAAUCGCCUGGGCGACAUGUGGUUUCAACAAGACGUUGCCACAAGCAACAGAGCACACGUACCACUCGAUUUAUUGAAGAGUAGGUUUGAUGUGCGUGCUAUCUCAAGAAGUGGCCCAAUCGAUAGGCCGCUUCGUUCGUGGGAUUUGAAGGUUCUAAACUAUUUUGUUUGGGGCUAACUCAAGUCAUUGGUUUAUGGCAACAAGCCGACGACGUUGGAAGAGCACAGAGCCAACAAUGAAUGGGAAAUAACGACCGUUUAGGUUGAAAUGUAUGCCCCAGUAAUCCAAAAUGGAGUCCAACGUAUUGACAGAUGUAAACGUGCCCGCGGUGGCCAUAUAAACGAAGUUGAGUUCCAUUCAUAAAUGUUUUGAUUGUACUUCAAACCAAUAAUAAAAAUGCAAAUUUGUCCAUGAACAAUCCAUCAAGGAACAGAGGCAAACUUCUCACAUAAUACGAUAAUAAAACAACUUUCAAGCGCUUAUUAGAAAACCCGAUAUUCGAGUAUUUUACUAUUUUAAACCAUUUUCUAUGAUAUACCAAAUAUAUUUAAUGGCUAAUACAAUAAAAAUCAUUUGGUGUUGUUUUUUAAGUAUCGGGGUUUUUGGUGUGAAAAAUAAAGGUUAUGUCAUACGAAAAUAACAUACAGGCGUGAUAGCAAAAAUGAUGAAUCCUAUGUAAAUUGACAAUUUCCAC